UGUGGUAAUGAUUGGCCUGUGAGGCUCAUAACCUGAAGGUCGUAGGUUCAAAUCCUACUCCCGCAACCA
rnacentral:tRNA from 1 species